GCCGCCGUGGCGCAAUGGCUAGCGCGUUGCCUUCCUAAGGCAAAGGCUGUGGGUUCGAAUCCCAUCUGCGGUA
rnacentral:tRNA from 1 species